CACUAAGGCACGAAAGCGUGGGAGCGAACGGGAUUAGAUACCCCGGUAGUCCACGCCGUAAACGAUGGAUGCUAGCUGUUAUCAGUAUCGACCCUGGUAGUAGCGAAGCUAACGCGUUAAGCAUCCCGCCUGUGGAGUACGAGCGCAAGCUUAAAACAUAAAGGAAUUGACGGGGACCCGCACAAGCGGUGGAGCGUGUUGUUUAAUUCGAUACUAAGCGAAGAACCUUACCAAGGUUUGACAUCCUGCCAAGCUUUCCGAAAGGAAAGUGUGCCUUCGGGCCGCAGUGACAGGUGCUGCAUGGCCGUCGUCAGCUCGUGUCGUGAGAUGUUAGGUUAAGUCCUUCAACGAGCGCAACCCUUUUGUCCAGUUGGAUUUCUCUGGACAGACUGCCCUGGUAACAGGGAGGAAGGAGGGGAUGAUGUCAGGUCAGUAUUGCCCUUACACCUUGGGCUACAAACACGCUACAGUGGCCGGUACAGAGGGCAGCCAACCCGCGAGGGGGAGCAAAUCCCAUCAAAGCCGGUCUCAGUUCGGAUUGCAGGCUGAAACUCGCCUGCAUGAAGCUGGAAUCGCUAGUAACGGUAGGUCAGCACACUACCGUGAAUACGUUCCCGGGUCUUGUACACACCGCCCGUCAAGUCAUGAAAGUCGCCAAUACCCGACGUCCUAGCUAGUCUAGGCCUAAGGUAGGGGAGAUGAUUGGGACUAAGUCGUAACAAGGUAACCAAGGG
rnacentral:rRNA from 1 species